CCUACGGGCGGCAGCAGUGAGGAAUAUUGGUCAAUGGACGCAAGUCUGAACCAGCCAUGCCGCGUGCAGGAUGACGGUUCCAAGAGUCGUAAACCGCUUUUGUACGAGGGUAAACUCCGAUACGUGUAUCCGGAUGAAAGUACCGUACGAAUAAGGAUCGGCUAACUCCGUGCCAGCAGCCGCGGUAAUACGGAGGAUCCGAGCGUUAUCCGGAUUUAUUGGGUUUAAAGGGUGCGCAGGCGGUCUGUUAAGUUAGAGGUGAAAUGCCGGGGCUCAACCCCGGAACGGCCGCUAACACUGUUAGUCUAGAGAUUGAGUGCGGUAGGCGGAAUGUGUGGUGUAGCGGUGAAAUGCUUAGAUAUCGUGCAGAACACCGAUUGCGAAGGCAGCAUGCCGGA
rnacentral:rRNA from 1 species